CACAGCUCUGUGUUUCUGUCCCCUUUUCUAGGGUUAGAUCAGAUGUGGUGAGAGGUCAAGAGGUGCUGUCUGAUGGCAGUACCAAGAUCUGAUCUCUAUAUGUGCAGGUUUUGCAUUUGGAGGCAGUAAACUGGAGGCAGCAACUGCAUAACUUGCGAGAUGCUCGUUGGAUGAUGAUCAUGCCGAUGAUUUUACCGCAAGUUAUGCAGUUGCUGCCUCAAGCUUGCUGCAUCCCAAUGUCAAACCAGUGAGAUUUAAGAUGAAGAAGUCAUUCGAAUACGAAACCAAAGAGAAAAACAACCAUGCAAGAAGCCUCUGUAGUCUGCACAACCGAUCAUAUUAUUACUGCAAGCUAGCAUAUCUUUUUUAUGUACUCCUUAUGUCCCAUAAUAUAAGAGCGUUUUUGACACUACACUAGUGUCAAACAAGCUCUUAUAUUAUGAGACAAAGGGAGUACAAUUUAACUUUAUUUUCCCUAGCUCCGUGCUAUCUAUGAGCUAAAGGCAUCUGCAAGGCUGCAAUGCAACUGUAAUCUUGAAAAUGGCAGUCAAAAUGUUUGCAUGCAUGUAUGUUAUAUUUCAAUUUAUAUGAGUACGCAACUUUUCUCUGCUUUUAAUAUUAUUAU